rnacentral:rRNA from 1 species
UUCUGACCUCGAAUCAGGUGGGACUACCCGCUGAACUUAAGCAUAUCAAUAAGCGGAGGAAAAGAAACUAACAAGGAUUCCCCUAGUAACGGCGAGUGAAGUGGGAUGAGCUCAAAUUUAAAAUCUGGUAGUCUUUGGCUGCCCGAGUUGUAAUCUAGAGAAGUGUUUUCUGUGCUGGACUGUGUUCAAGUUUCCUGGAUAUGGAACAUCAUAGAGGGUGAGAAUCCCGUCCUUGACACAGAUUCCCUAGUGCUCUGUGAUGCACUCUCAACGAGUCGAGUUGUUUGGGAUUGCAGCUCAAAAUGGGAGGUAAAUUCC